rnacentral:rRNA from 1 species
AUGAACGCUAGCUACAGGCUUAACACAUGCAAGUCGAGGGGCAGCAUUUUAGUUUGCUUGCAAACUAAAGAUGGCGACCGGCGCACGGGUGAGUAACACGUAUCCAACCUGCCGAUAACUCGGGGAUAGCCUUUCGAAAGAAAGAUUAAUAUCCGAUAGUAUAUUAAAACCGCAUGGUUUUACUAUUAAAGAAUUUCGGUUAUCGAUGGGGAUGCGUUCCAUUAGUUUGUUGGCGGGGUAACGGCCCACCAAGACUACGAUGGAUAGGGGUUCUGAGAGGAAGGUCCCCCACAUUGGAACUGAGACACGGUCCAAACUCCUACGGGAGGCAGCAGUGAGGAAUAUUGGUCAAUGGACGAGAGUCUGAACCAGCCAAGUAGCGUGAAGGAUGACUGCCCUAUGGGUUGUAAACUUCUUUUAUAUGGGAAUAAAGUAUUCCACGUGUGGGAUUUUGUAUGUACCAUAUGAAUAAGGAUCGGCUAACUCCGUGCCAGCAGCCGCGGUAAUACGGAGGAUCCGAGCGUUAUCCGGAUUUAUUGGGUUUAAAGGGAGCGUAGGUGGAUUGUUAAGUCAGUUGUGAAAGUUUGCGGCUCAACCGUAAAAUUGCAGUUGAAACUGGCAGUCUUGAGUACAGUAGAGGUGGGCGGAAUUCGUGGUGUAGCGGUGAAAUGCUUAGAUAUCACGAAGAACUCCGAUUGCGAAGGCAGCUCACUAGACUGCAACUGACACUGAUGCUCGAAAGUGUGGGUAUCAAACAGGAUUAGAUACCCUGGUAGUCCACACAGUAAACGAUGAAUACUCGCUGUUUGCGAUAUACAGUAAGCGGCCAAGCGAAAGCAUUAAGUAUUCCACCUGGGGAGUACGCCGGCAACGGUGAAACUCAAAGGAAUUGACGGGGGCCCGCACAAGCGGAGGAACAUGUGGUUUAAUUCGAUGAUACGCGAGGAACCUUACCCGGGUUUAAAUUGCAUUUGAAUAAUCUGGAAACAGGUUAGCCGCAAGGCAAAUGUGAAGGUGCUGCAUGGUUGUCGUCAGCUCGUGCCGUGAGGUGUCGGCUUAAGUGCCAUAACGAGCGCAACCCUUAUCUUUAGUUACUAACAGGUCAUGCUGAGGACUCUAGAGAGACUGCCGUCGUAAGAUGUGAGGAAGGUGGGGAUGACGUCAAAUCAGCACGGCCCUUACGUCCGGGGCUACACACGUGUUACAAUGGGGGGUACAGAAGGCAGCUACCUGGCGACAGGAUGCUAAUCCCAAAAACCUCUCUCAGUUCGGAUCGAAGUCUGCAACCCGACUUCGUGAAGCUGGAUUCGCUAGUAAUCGCGCAUCAGCCAUGGCGCGGUGAAUACGUUCCCGGGCCUUGUACACACCGCCCGUCAAGCCAUGAAAGCCGGGGGUACCUGAAGUACGUAACCGCAAGGAGCGUCCUAGGGUAAAACUGGUAAUUGGGGCU